rnacentral:tRNA from 1 species
GGGAUUGUGGUUUAGUGGUAGAGCACUUGCCUUGUAUGCAUGAGGCACUGGGUUCAAUCCUCAGCACCA